AACAAAAAGUCGGGCCUGCCCGGUGAUAUAAUAAUUAAACGGCUGCAACGAGAGUUGUGCUAAGGUAGCGCGAUAAUUUGUCUCUUAAUUGGAGAAUGGUAUGAAAGGUUUGACGUAGAUCGAUUGUCUCUAUAAAAAAAAAAUGAAGUUUCCUUUUAAAUGAAAAGGUUUAAAUUUUUGUAAAAGACGAGAAGACCCUGCCGAGCUUAAUUAGGCUUUCAAUUUAGUUAUUGUUACUGUUUUUAAAGUUGAAUUUUAGUUGGGGAAAGCUAAGCUUAAGAGAACAAGUUUAUAAAGAUACAGAUCCUCUUUGAGAGAAAGUUAGUAAAAGCUACCGCAGGGAUAACAGCGUAAUUUUUCUUGGGAGAUCGAAUUGAGGGAAAAGUGUGCGACCUCGAUGUUGGAUUAAAGAAACUUUUUGGUGCAGCAGCUAAAAAUGUAAGACUGUUCGUCUUUUAAAUCUCUACAUGAUCUGAUUUCAAACCGGA
rnacentral:rRNA from 1 species